rnacentral:rRNA from 1 species
UAGCUGUAAACGAUACUCGCUAGGUGUCGGCCACGGUGCGACCGUUGUCGGUGCCGUAGGGAAGCCGUGAAGCGAGCCACCUGGGAAGUACGGCCGCAAGGCUGAAACUUAAAGGAAUUGGCGGGGAGCACCACAACGGGUGGAGCUUGCGGUUUAAUUGGAUUCAACGCCGGAAAUCUUACCGGGACCGACAGCAACAUGAAGGCCAGGCUGAAGACUUUGCCGGAUUAGCUGAGAGGUGGUGCAUGGCGUAGUCGUGU